rnacentral:rRNA from 1 species
GCCAGACUCCUACGGGAGGCAGCAGUGGGGAAUAUUGCACAAUGGGGGAAACCCUGAUGCAGCGACGCCGCGUGAGUGAAGAAGUAUUUCGGUAUGUAAAGCUCUAUCAGCAGGAACGAGACAAGACGGUACCUGACUAAGAAGCCCCGGCUAACUACGUGCCAGCAGCCGCGGUAAUACGUAGGGGGCAAGCGUUAUCCGGAAUCACUGGGUGUAAAGGGAGCGUAGACGGCUGUGCAAGCCUGAAGUGAAAGGCGGGGGCCCAACCCCUGGACUGCUUUGGGAACUGUACGGCUGGAGUGCAGGAGAGGUAAGUGGAAUUCCUAGUGUAGCGGUGAAAUGCGUAGAUAUUAGGAGGAACACCAGUGGCGAAGGCGGCUUACUGGACUGUAACUGACGUUGAGGCUCGAAAGCGUGGGGAGCAAACAGGAUUAGAUACCCGAGUAA